rnacentral:misc_RNA from 1 species
GUGAGCCGGCAGCCUUCUGGUACAUCAUCCACGAAAUCCCUGAAAUCAUCAUCAGUGAUAAGAUUCAUAUCCGUGGGAACGAUGCACUCAUCAUACCCAGUAUCAUCAUCCUCCCCUGUCUCCGCCGGCAGCCUCGUCCCAUGCCCGCUAUAGUGGAAAAACAGGAAAUCCCCAGGCUCGGCCGAUCGAAUCAGGCGGAUGAUGGCGCGGCGGAUGUUGGCGCCAGUCGGCUGAUCGCCGGACCGAUCGGUGUCGAUGAGGACGGUGAUGUCCUCCUCGGCGAAUCCGUAGCGAUCAAUUAGACAACGGUGCAUGCGGCGCACAUCGUUAAUGCAGCCCUUGAGCUCCGCCUUGGUGCCCGGGUAGUUGCAGCCGACGAGAAGCGCUUUCUUUCCCAUUGGAUAGGGUGAUGCCUGGUGGCGGGAUCGGCGGUGGUGGCGACGGCGGCGCCGGCGGCGGAGCGAUUCGGGGGUGGAGGUGCUUAUUUUGG